rnacentral:rRNA from 1 species
UGAACGCUAGCUACAGGCUUAACACAUGCAAGUCGAGGGGAAACGACAUCGAAAGCUUGCUUUUGAUGGGCGUCGACCGGCGCACGGGUGAGUAACGCGUAUCCAACCUGCCCACCACUUGGGGAUAACCUUGCGAAAGUAAGACUAAUACCCAAUGAUAUCUCUAGAAGAUAUCUGAAAGAGAUUAAAGAUUUAUCGGUGAUGGAUGGGGAUGCGUCUGAUUAGCUUGUUGGCGGGGUAACGGCCCACCAAGGCAACGAUCAGUAGGGGUUCUGAGAGGAAGGUCCCCCACAUUGGAACUGAGACACGGUCCAAACUCCUACGGGAGGCAGCAGUGAGGAAUAUUGGUCAAUGGACGAGAGUCUGAACCAGCCAAGUAGCGUGCAGGAUGACGGCCCUAUGGGUUGUAAACUGCUUUUAUAAGGGAAUAAAGUGAGUCUCGUGAGACUUUUUGCAUGUACCUUAUGAAUAAGGACCGGCUAAUUCCGUGCCAGCAGCCGCGGUAAUACGGAAGGUCCGGGCGUUAUCCGGAUUUAUUGGGUUUAAAGGGAGCGUAGGCCGGAGAUUAAGCGUGUUGUGAAAUGUAGACGCUCAACGUCUACACUGCAGCGCGAACUGGUUUCCUUGAGUACGCACAAAGUGGGCGGAAUUCGUGGUGUAGCGGUGAAAUGCUUAGAUAUCACGAAGAACUCCGAUUGCGAAGGCAGCUCACUGGAGCGCAACUGACGCUGAAGCUCGAAAGUGCGGGUAUCGAACAGGAUUAGAUACCCUGGUAGUCCGCACGGUAAACGAUGGAUGCCCGCUGUUGGUCUGAAUAGGUCAGCGGCCAAGCGAAAGCAUUAAGCAUCCCACCUGGGGAGUACGCCGGCAACGGUGAAA